UACGUAGGGGGCAAGCGUUGUCCGGAUUUAUUGGGCGUAAAGAGCGUGUAGGCGGCCUGAAAGGUCAGCUGUGAAAACUCGAGGCUCAACCUCGAGACGUCGGUUGAAACCAUCUGGCUAGAGUCCGGAAGAGGAGAGUGGAAUUCCCGGUGUAGCGGUGAAAUGCGCAGAUAUCGGGAAGAACACCCGUGGCGAAGGCGGCUCUCUGGGACGGUACUGACGCUGAGACGCGAAAGCGUGGGGAGCGAACAGG
rnacentral:rRNA from 1 species